GACGAAGGAUGCAAGCGUUAUCCGGAUUCAUUGGGUUUAAAGGGUGCGUAGGCGGACCUGUAAGUCAGUGGUGAAAUCUCUUCGCUUAACGAAGAAACUGCCAUUGAUACUGCAAGUCUAGAGUACAGAUGAUGUGGGCGGAAUAUGACAUGUAGUGGUGAAAUACUUAGAUAUGUCAUAGAACACCGAUUGCGAAGGCAGCUCACAAAACUGUAACUGACGCUGAGGCACGAAAGUGCGGGGAUCAAACAGGAUUAGAUACCCUGGUAGUCCGCACCGUAAACGAUGAUUACUCGUUGUUGGCGAUAUGACAGUCAGCGACCAAGCGAAAGCGAUAAGUAAUCCACCUGGGGAGUACGCCGGCAACGGUGAA
rnacentral:rRNA from 1 species